CUUCCCUCGCGCUGCCAUCACAUACUUCGUAUCCUCCCCGUUGGCUCCCUCCCCCCAACCCAACCCGCGUCCUCCUUCUCCCGUAUCGCUCGGACCUGUAGCGUCGCCGCCGUCACCGAUGCACCUCCUUUCCCCUUCUCCCUACCACCUUCGGCUUCAGCAUGGAGCAUUAGCUCCUCUUGCCUCACCGGCCGUCCUGAGCAAGGGCAGGGCGCCUCGUCCUCUCCUUCCCCGAGCGCGGAGGGAGAGAAGAGAUGGCGACGGCUGGAUCUCGGUAAGUGGCCAGCGAGGAGGACGGCUUGGCCCCGCAGCAACGCCAACAAGGCACUUCCGUCUAGCGUCGCCUAUUCUUCCUCCUCUCGCUCCAAUCCUACCGUGGCCACCACCAGUAGUAGCAAGAAGUCCAACUCUUCUGUGGUAUGAACUAUUCCUUGUGUUGUUGUUUGAUGUAUUUUCUUGCAUCCUUGCUAAUUCGGGUUGAUCUGCUAUUGCCCCACACGAGGUUGUCCUCCUCUCUGGUUUUGCUGAUUCCGACGGCGCCGAAUCCACCUACAGGAUAUCUUUGACAUUUGUUAUUAUUGGGGUGUAAAUCCUGGCGAUGAAAAUAUUAUCAAUGUUCUUGUCAAAUUGGGUUGCCAAUGCUGGAAGCUGCUCAUGGGACAUAUAACUUGAAGGUCGUCUCCAGUGCUACUUUUCUUUCUACUGAUUUUCGUUUUAAUCAAGAACGAUAGAGAGUGAUUCCACGCUUGUACUUGACUUCAUGUGCUUCCUUGGACUUGAUAUCUUCUGUUUUUAUUGUGUGGUGGUGGUGCCGUCGAGGUCGGGGAUGGCGCUCAGCGGCUUGGAUGCCGCGUUCGUCCUCCCCAUGCACUUCCCUUCUCCCUCGGCUUCUUUCGCGCCCGAUUCCUCCUCGACCGCCUGGUAUCCAAGGAGAAAAUGAUGUUUCAAUGAUACAAAGGGCUGAUGUUGGUUUUGGUACAUUCAUAGGUUUAUGUACCUCCCUAGCUUCCUUGCCUUGCUGCUCUAGCACCAGCCUCGCCGCUGUUGAGUUGUAUAGAUCAUUAUGAAGUAAAUAAUUUGGGGGAAUUCUCUGCUUCACCUAUAAAGAGAUGGGAUCCAUAUGGCAGGGAUGAAAUCCAACUUCAAUUGGCAUGCAAUAAGAUCAAAUGGGAGUUUGGACCAUGAGCUUGCGGAUGCUAAACAAAAUCUUAGGUAAGUCUGAAAUAGAAGCAUUCAAGAAGUUCACUAGGCCAGAAUGCUUCGAAGCCGAUCUUGAUGACCAUAACUUCACGUUUACUCAGCAUGCUAAAAUGGCUCGAGUUAUUCAUCUGUAUGGUGUAGGUACCCUCCAACUCCUUUUUGUUUUAAUGAUUUUCACUAACAAAUAAUUCUUACAUAAGACCUUGGAGUAGCAAAGAUGUUCUCAUUUGUCCAACAUAAUUUACAAAAUUUGAUGGAUUAGAAAAAGAUUAAAAUUAAUGGAUGCGGGUAAUACACAAUUUUAUAUGUUGGCAAGUAUGUAUAAUGUACGAGUCUACGCAAGUGUCAGUUCUGUAUUAUUGUCUGUUUUCAAGUAUUUGUCACUCGAGUUUCUGAUAACUGAAGUGGGUGUUUGUAGUUGCAAUGCAGAGCAGAUCGAGUGGUGUAAGGUGGUGUUGUUGUGGGACAUUGCAACUGCUGCCAGAUUGAUUCAAGCUUCAUUUUAAUGUUUUUGUUCAUCUAUGCUUUUGAUUAUAUUUUUACAGAAUAAUGGGGGUUAUACUUAUUCUCGAGGGCCUUGCAGAGAGUAUUCUGAAUUGUAUUCAUUGCUUCCAAGUAGUUGUUUAUAUUUCUUAUGAGUAUUCACCUACAACUUGAUGUCUUACAACACGAGGAGAUUUAUACCUGUUUGCUUAAGCAUUUUCACUAAACUACGCAUACUGUAUGUUAACAAAUACAACAACAUUUGCUAUUCAGUCAUGCACAUUAUGUGGCUACCUUUGUACCAAUCUUGUGUAUAGGACAGGGUACAUACGAUUUUCUUGUUCAUGCCUAUAAAAAAAUAUAUGAUGAUGAUGAAUGAGGUAAGUAUCGGGGUUUUCUUCUUGGGUUGUGGGUAGUGGUGUUCUCCAAAAGCUCUUUUCAUCCCAUACAAAGCUUUUAUAAAGGUAAGGUAAAGCUUUUAGAUACUCUUGCUUCUCUCUGGAGCUAUAUUUAUAAACUUUGUCCCAAUUCUUGUCGUUAUAUCAUAAAUCUUGCUUGUGAUUCAGAACAAAUGGUGGAUUAUUAUGUAGCUUUCUAACAUGUGAUGCAGUAACAUAUACUAGAGUUCGAUGUUAAUCUAUCAAAACAGAGGCUAACAGAGUCCUUUUCUUUUGCUUGAUUUGCAUAUUUUACUUGUGUUGACAGAUAGAUUAUUUUGGUUGCUUAACUCGGUAUGUUUUUGUUCAAACUUCAUGUUACUUGAGCUAACUGUAGAGCAUUAUAUGGCUUAAGUAAAAAAAACUGAUAGAAUUUUUUUACUUGAUGUGUAAGUUCUGUACCAAAUCAUUUAUACAUAAGUCGAGUGCUAAUUGUUAGAGACUUGUUCUGAGUUACACCAACUUGCUUAA